UGUGAAGAAGAAUUGAGGUUGCUGAGAGCAAAACUAUUUGCUCAGUCACAGCCAAAUCUUUUGAGCAUUGGUAGUAUUGAGGAAGAAGAAAUUAAUCAUAUCAAUGGUGAUGGAGGGAAACAGACUUUGCAGAGUGCACAGUCUAUUCCAAACCUCUUAGAUUCUGAUGAUUCAUUGGAUGUUUCACAGGAUCCGGCUUCACAAAAGGUAUGUGCCAAUGGUCUCCGAUAUGGAUUCCCCAAAUACUGACCUUAUCUUAUUUCUGAUCUUCAGAGUCAUGCAAUAUGGAGUAUUUUCAUAUAAUGUGAGUCUGUGACAAGGUAGCAUGUAUUUCAAUUUAUGUCUAGUUUCAUAGGCAUGUGUGAAUUUAUUUCCUUCAAACAGAUGCGAGUUAUUGGUUUUGCUUGAUCUUCUUUAUACAAAUUUUCUCUUUGGUGGUGUUUAUUAAGGUCAUUAGUUUCUGUUGAACUCCCUUUGCCUCUUCAUUUGUUCUUGGCUUUAUAACAAUUUGUUUUGUUGCAUUGUUUGUGUUGCUGUGAUUUUAGCAGCAGGGGCUGUUUUGGCUGCAUCUCUAUUAGGUGGCACCAUUAUCACUGCACUUGCAUAUGUUUUCAUCGGUUUGUGUAAAUCUUCUCUGUAAUUGUCAUUUUAUUUUUGUGGUUGUUCCAACCUGCCAAUUAAUAAUGUCUGCUCUGAUGCCUAUUGCUAUAUUUUCUCCUCUAACUCUACUUUUAAUUUACUAUCACUUACCUGUAUCUUCUUUUGCCCAGAAAAUUCAUAUUCUAUAACAAGCAUUAUAUCCUCAUACUGCUGUUGUAUAUUCACCACUUCUCUAAAUGGUGUAGUUUUCCCUUCAGUAUAGCCAUUUGAAUUAGCCAUGUCAG